GCCUUCGUGGUGUAGUGGUCAGCACGCUCGACACGUAACCUAGAGGUCUAUGGUUCGAUUCCCGGCGAAGGCG
rnacentral:tRNA from 1 species